GCCGAGAUGGCGGAAUUGGUAGACGCGCUAGCCUCAGGUGCUAGUGGGAUAACUCCCGUGGAGGUUCAAAUCCUCUUCUCGGCACCA
rnacentral:tRNA from 1 species